UUGGAGGGCAAGUCUGGUGCCAGCAGCCGCGGUAAUUCCAGCUCCAAUAGCGUAUAUUAAAGUUGUUGCCGUUAAAAAGCUCGUAGUUGAACCUUGGGCCUGGCUGACCUGUCCUCCUAAUCGAGCGCACGGGUUCGGUCGGGCCUUUCCUUCUGGGGAUCCCGAUGCCCUUCACUGGGCGUCGUGGGGAACCAGGACUUUUACCUUGAAAAAAUUAGAGUGUUCAAAGCAGGCCUUUGCUCGAAUACAUUAGCAUGGAAUAAUAGGAUAGGACAGAGGUUCUAUUUUGUUGGUUUCUA
rnacentral:rRNA from 1 species